rnacentral:rRNA from 1 species
AUGGUGGGGGUGCUGUCGAAUCGGGUGGACCGGGAGGCCCUCGCCGCCGGGGAUCACAUCUACUCGUGGAGAACCGCCUACAUCUACGCCCACCACGGGAUAUAUGCUGGAGAUGGAAUGGUUAUCCAUUUUACGAGAGCGGCUGGACAUGAAAUUGGAACAGGAACAUUCUUAGACAAGUUUCUGUUCAGCUCAUCGCCGACUACGGCAGAUGGCCCUCCUUGCGAGAAAUGUGGGCACCUCAUCAAGCCUCAGGGCGUCAUAAUGUCCUGUCUCGAUUGCUUCCUGGACGGGGGCAGUCUCUACCUCUUCGACUAUGCUGUGUCGCCCCCUUUCUUCCUCGCCAAAGCACGUGGAGGAACGUGCACUAUGGCACCCUCUGACGCUGCACUUGUUGUCCACCGUGCCAAACACCUCCUCAACAAUGGCUUUGGCAUGUAUAGCCUGUUUAAGAACAACUGUGAGGACUUCGCGAUAUACUGCAAGACGGAACUGCUCGUCGAGACUGCUUACAGCGUUGGGCGCAGUGGGCAGCUGGCGUCCCUGACGGCUGCUUUCAGCGCGGUGGCUUCUUCGCCGCUGCGUUUCCUGACAACUAGUGCUAGCGGUCUGGCAAUUGUGACAAGCGGCAUGUACUGCGUGGGGCGAUAUGUGUCAGACAUGGGUGUUCGCCGUGAUGUGAUCAAGGUGCCUGUGGAAAGGCUUGUAGAGCACUGGGUGAACAAUGUCACUCCUGCUCUUCCUCAAGGGGCCACACAGCCGGAGACGGCAACGCCAGGAGGCUCGCCGCUGCUACCAGGGGAAGGGGAGCUUGCUAAAAUGGCAACACCAGGAGGCUCGCUGGAGCUACCAGGGGAAGGGGAGCUUGCUAAAACGGCAACACCUGGAGGCUCGCCGGAGCUACCAGGGGAAGGGGAGCUUGCUAAAAUGGCAACACCAGGAGGCUUUCCGGAGCUACCAGGGGAAGGGGAGCUUGCUAAAACGGCAACACCAGGAGGCUCGCUGGAGCUACCAGGGGAAGGCGAGCUUGCUAAAACGGCAACACCAGGAAGCUCGCCGGAGCUACUAGGGGAAGGUGAGCUUGCUAAAGCGGCAACACCAGGAGGCUCGCCAGAGUUACCAGGGGAAGGGGGACUCGCUAAAAAGGACAGCCGUAUUUAG